GAAUACGACGCAAUCCAUCUUUACAGAUAAAGAAUAAACUGGGCUCGUCGCAGACGUCAUCAAAAUCCAUGACGUCACAGCGGGCUGGUGCGGCAACUUCAAGGAGGCGGCGCCACCUAGGGAUGUAGUCGAGGCAGCCGAGAGGAUUUCUAACAAGGAACUAUUGCCAGGAAGAUCGCCCAUACUGAUUGUGGUCACUUCGCAGCGCACGAAAAACGGGAUCAAGGAAGGGCCCAAACGUACGUGGAGCGAUGACUUUCAGAGCGCUGUGUCGUCCGCAUACGUUGAGCCUGCAGGGACCUCCUGUGACACCCAGCUGCCCGUUACGGAUGCGAGAUAAGUCAAAACCUAAUUUACUAUUUUCCCGAAAUUUCAUCGGGCGAAAAGUGUCACCUGGCACUACGACAGAAUACCGAAAUGCUCCAACUGUAACGGGUCUGUUUUUAGGAGCUCUAAGGGGCCCUUUUAUGCAAUGUUUAGAACUCUCUGCACGGUGGCGGCAUCUGGCGCGAAGUUUCGAUACAAAUAACACGUGACUUCAUAGCGCCAAAUUUGCCAGCCAAUUGAGUUGGUAUGCCUUACAGAUAAGCAACAUUCGCUAGAACAAAGCGGCUGAAAUCGCUUUGCUGAGACUGGUGGAUAUGAGCCCAUCUAAUUAAAGACAAAAAAAAAUAUGUGUGGCUUUGCUAUCGCA